UUAUUCUGAUCGACUAUUGAUUUGUUUUUCAUUAAAGAAAAAAUAAUACUUUGAAAGUAGUAUUUAUAGUAUUAAUUGAAGGAAACAAUUUUCUCUCUCUAACAUUUUGACCCUCUAACCUCUCUCUACACUUCCCCCCUUCUUUCUCAUUUUUUCUCCCACAAUCCAAACAAGCCGCUCAAGAUGUAGAUCCUAGCAGCGGUGGUGCGACGAGACUUCGUCUCCGCACCACCUUCUUCAACCCCAUUGUUGUUCAUUGUUCACUCUGACCUAUCUCCGUUCGUGUCCGUUUUGUUGCUGGUUUUUUCUGUCCAGUUUGUUUAUGGCCUGAUCUGUUGGUGGUCCGGUGGUGAGGGGUUGGUGGUCCGGUGAUGUGAGGUGGUGGUGGAUAUUGCGGAUCUGUGGCGGUCUGGUGGUGGCUGUGCGGAUCUGUGGUGGUCCGGUUGUGGUUUCGUUUCUCCUGCUUCCUGGCUGCUUUCGUCUAUCAUCUAGUUGCUGCUGCUGGUUUGUCUUGGUGUGGCCUUACGGUGGUUGUUGCUGUGUGGGCAGCAGUCCGCACUCUGCUGCUGCGUGUGCGACCUCGCUUUUGGCAACUGGAGCGGUUGGGUUUUGACUAGGUGGUUUGUGCUUUUUGUGAGGCGGAGGUGGUGUUAUGUGUUGGAGGGUUUCUCCGUGCUGGUUGUGCAGUGAAGGUGGUGCCGUGUGUGGUCUGGUUUCCGGCAGCGGAAGGUGUAGGUUGUUGUUGGGUGAUUCGGGGAGGUCAGUGAUGGUAACGGACGUGUGAUGUGUGGCACCGAUAUGUGUGAUCUACUUCCAACGGUUGUAGGUGUGGCAACCUCUCUUUCAUUUACGAUUAAUCCUUCUUCAACGAACUUUCGGAUGGUUUGUCGUCAUAAGGAUCGUGGUGGUUGUGGUUGUUCACGCGGUGGCCGUGGUGCUUUAGAUUUUGCUUGUUUUGGUGGCAGACCCCCCGAGAUCACUGCGUUUCGGGUUUCCAGUUAAGGUGGUGGUGGUGGCUUUGCGUGUUUGGAUGGAUGGUCGUGGUUGUUUUGGACUAGGAUUUGGUGUUGGAACGAUUUACGGACAGGAGCUGUAUAAGGGGUUGGUAGGUGUUGUUUACGUGAGGAGGAGGGUUUUGUUGGGGGUGAGUUACUUUUGGAGGCAACAUCUGUUUCACGGGUCCUUGUCCAUCGUCACUUGCUCUUGUUGGUGCUUUUGGGUUGUUUAGGGUGUUUGGAUGGUGUGUGUCCCGUUGUGUUUGAGUCUUUUCCUUGUGACUGGUUUGUUGUUUGCACCAAUCGCAUAUCAUGUCUAUCGUCUUAAAUAUUGUGUGCUGGUGUCCGGUGGGCCGGUUUUUUUUGCUUCGAGAUCGGGAGUUGGUGUCUAGCUGCAAUCCUGCUUGACUUGAUAUGGUGUUCUCUAGUGUACCGAGGGCGAUGGGUGCCCUGCUGAUUUGGUUCUAAAGUCUGGUGGGUCGAUCACUUUUGAUUCGAGAUCGGGAGUCAGCUCUUUGACUCAAGUUGGUUUUUGGGCUUUUGUUUUGUGCUCAUUCGGUGGAUCGGAGGUCGAGAGGUUGUGGAAACUACUUGUUCAUUUGGUUAGGAGCUUUUCGAAUGUGGCUCAGCUUGGGUGUUGAAGUCUUGGAGUUUUAUUUUGAGGGAUGUUCUUUGGGGUGAGUAGUGACGAUGGGUGGUUGUGGAUACUGUGUUUACAGUGUUUGUUUCUGUCAAGGUGUCCGUCUUAGGUGAGUUUAUAUUCAGGGGCUUUGUUUGGUGGUUAUGGUGUACCGUCUAUAUGCGGCGCCAUUUGUAUCUUGUUUUGUCUAUACCUUGUGUCUUGCGAGGAUGGCGUUUUAAUAAUAUUUGCUGAUUAAAAAAAAACAGUAUUAAUUGAAGGGUACGAUUGAAAAGAAAAAGUUAUUAUUGCAUUGGAAACAAAAGUGACAUUAAUUUUAAAAUAAUUUUUUUAGGUAAAACGAC
rnacentral:lncRNA from 1 species